AACGCUAGCUACAGGCUUAACACAUGCAAGUCGAGGGGCAGCACAAGGCAGCAAUGCUGAGGUGGCGACCGGCGCACGGGUGCGUAACGCGUAUCCAACCUUCCCGUUACUCAUGGAUAGCCUUCCGAAAGGGAGAUUAAUACAUGAUGGUGUUGAAAUUCCGCAUGUUAUUUCAACUAAAGAUUUAUCGGUAACGGAUGGGGAUGCGUGACAUUAGAUAGAUGGCGGGGUAACGGCCCACCAUGUCCACGAUGUCUAGGGGUUCUGAGAGGAAGGUCCCCCACACUGGAACUGAGACACGGUCCAGACUCCUACGGGAGGCAGCAGUGAGGAAUAUUGGUCAAUGGCCGGAAGGCUGAACCAGCCAAGUAGCGUGAAGGAUGAAGGUUCUAUGGAUUGUAAACUUCUUUUAUACGGGAAUAAAACCUCCCACGUGUGGGAGCUUGUAUGUACCGUAUGAAUAAGCAUCGGCUAACUCCGUGCCAGCAGCCGCGGUAAUACGGAGGAUGCGAGCGUUAUCCGGAUUUAUUGGGUUUAAAGGGAGCGUAGACGGGAGAUUAAGUCAGCUGUGAAAGUUUGAGGCCCAACCUUAAAAUUGCAGUUGAUACUGGUUUCCUUGAGUGCGGUUGAGGUGUGUGGAAUUCGUGGUGUAGCGGUGAAAUGCUUAGAUAUCACGAAGAACUCCGAUUG
rnacentral:rRNA from 1 species